rnacentral:sRNA from 1 species
GAUGGAGAAGAGCAGCCCGGGCCGGUCAGAGCACACGCCUGUGAAGCAGAAGCGCAGCUUCCAGUAGAAGAGGUGCUCCCAGAUGAAGAUGCCCGUAAGCCACAGUGUCUCCAGCUCCUCCAUCUCACCUGCACAGAACACAGCAGCCACAGGCAGUGAGGACCCAAGCGCAGGCCUUGGUGUAGACCCUUCUGAGGUGGGAACAGGGCAAGUGAGAUAUCUCAGUCCCUGAGAGUGCUGGCUGCCAAGCCCGUCGACCCAAGUUUGAUCCCUGGGAGCCACACGGUGGAAAGAGAGGACAGAACCCUGCAAGUUGUCAUCUAACGUCCAUGUAUGUGUAUUGACUUCACUUGUGCACAUAAAGAGUUAAAUAUUAAAGAUAAAAACUUCCUCUAUUGUUGCUUUAAAUAUUGGCUCCCCAUCUUACCUUUUUAAAAAAAAUAUUCCUCUCUAAGUCUUCCAAACCUUGGCAACUAUUGGUCUGUGGGGUUUUCCUUCCCACAGUGCCACAUAGUUAGAAAUAUGUGGUGUGUGGCCUUUUCAGGCUGGCUUCUUUCACUGGAUAAUGUGCACGUGCAUGUCCCUUCUGGAUCCAGAGCUCAUUUCUUUGCAUUACUGGGUUCCACGAUCUAGAUAUGCUUUGUAUAUCUGCUUAUCUAUUGCUGUUGAGGUUGGCUGUUCCCAAAUUUUAACCAUUACAAAUAAAGCCACUGCAAACCUUGAUUACUGGAGAUCUUGGGUUGGAGAUUUUUGACUCCUUUGGUUAAAAUAUCUAGAGGCAUUUUUCUGAGUUCUCUGGAUUACGUGGAUAAAAAUAAAAGUUGAGCUUUUUAGAAAACUGCCAAGCUAUCUUCCAAAUCGACAGCACUGUUUCAGAUUCUACCUCCCCACAGUAGCUGACUAGGGUGCCAAUGUUUGUGCAAGAUGUUUACUCUUUUCCUAGGCUGACGAUGCUACCUGGUCACUGUGAUUAGCAAUUCCCUAAUGACCCAUAAUAAUUCAUUUUGUCCUAAAAAUUUUAGCACAGUGUGUUCUCAGUCUAACCUUUAGAUUACUGACUUUAUUUUCAUGUUUGUUUAUCUCUGUGGGUUGGAGUUGACUGAUCCCCAUGAAGAUCCAUUCCCUAGUUCAUUUGCUCUUUAGUUGGUAAUAUUUCAUUUCAUGCUCUCAUCCUAAUCUAUUUAUCUUACAUGAGACAGUUAUUUCUCUCCUCGCUUCACCCGGGACUUUCAUCAGGAUUUUCAUACCUCUUCUACUUUGGUGAUUUCAAAUCUAUAGUCAAGGGGAUAAUUCUGUUUGUUUCUUGUUGUUUUGAGACAGGGUUUCUCUCUGUAGCCCUGACUGUCCUGGAACUUACUCUGUAGACCACACUGGCCUUGAACUGAGAUCUGCCUGUCUCUGCUUCCUGAAUGCUGGGAUUGAAGGGGUGUGGCACCACUGAAGAGAGCCAUUCCUCUGUUUGCUCUAUGUUCUUACUCAUGGUAUAAGAUAUCACUGACUGAAGCAUGCUGGCAACCUACCAUGGCAACCACACUGCUGAAGAAAACAGACUUUUCCUUCCCCAUUGGCCAAAAGCUACCAGUGGCAACUUAGCUAGGAGUAGGUAGAGCUUUGUGAGCCCCUUCCCUGUCCAUGCUAGAAUGGUGGCUAGCUUGGUCUUGUCCCAGCAACCAUAGCUGUUGUAAGUUUGUGAGCAUUAUUGUUCUGUCAUGUCCAGAAGACAGCAUUUCUUAGCCAUCUCCGCUGACAUCUGGCCCUUACUGUUAUCUGCUCCCUCUUCCAGUAUGUCCUCUGGGCCUGAAGGAUGCAGUGUGGUACGGACAUCUUGCCCGUGAGCAUGCCCCAUGCCCCAUCACUUUCCCAAUUUCAGGUUUCAGCAUUAACUGCUGCCUGUUGUGUACCUCUCUAACCUUUGACCCUGAGUUAAUCCUCUGCAGAGCUAAUCUCCCUUUAAAUAUCAUGAACUCCCUCAAGAUUGCAGGGUUGCAGAAAUGCCUUUACAGAUGGUUUUAGGGAUGGCUUCUACCCCAGCCCCAUGAGUUCUUACUGCAACCUUUUCCUGUAUGGAAAAGACUGAACAUGAUCACCAUUUAAGUGAUAUACAUUUGGAUUCUCCAAGUCAUCUGGGUUCCGCUUCUCACUCAGCUCCAAGCAGAAGGAAAACCUCCCAGCAUUCUUCGCUUUAAUGUACAGAGAUUUCCCCAAUUUCCUUUUCAUAGAUAGAAGUGACUCACAGGGAACAUGCAUAUUUAUGAGAGGAAAAAUAUUAAGAGCUCUAUCUCCCAGUAAGUUCGUCACCCAAGAUGUCAGUCCUGGUGAUUCAGCAUGGCAGGCAGAGUGGCAGGAAGGUGUAUCUUGACCCAAAUCUUUACCUUCUAACACAUACCAGCCCCGAACAAGCAGAGUGGCCGAUGUCAUGGAAGGCUGAUGCUUUCCCAUCCACCCAGCAGCACCACAGACUCAGCCAAGUCCCUCUGCCCAGCAGGAGCCUGGGCACUUAACAUAAAUGGCUCCUCUCUUUCUAAAGCCACCAAAGGUCACUUUCUAAAGGCCACCAAAGGUUUUUAGGAAGGUCACUUCCUAAAAACACAACACGACGUGGUUUUGAGUGUCCCCUCCCUUGGGACACAUAUAAAAAAAAUGGGUCUUUCUCCCCAGGAUUCAUCUAAAUCCAAAAAUAUCUUCUCUUUAGUGCUGUCUCAAAAAAAGUCAGGUUUGUAAGCCCGUGACACUGGCAGUCUGGCUAAAAAAAACAUGGACUGGAUUCCUUUUAAGAUGCAAAUACGAGGAAUUUUUGUCUUUGUCCUUGGCCUGAGCAUACCACACUUCUCUACAGAACUAAGCCAACCUGGUAAUGCCAAGCAGGAUUCCAACAGGACAGGGAAAUCCUAUUUCUCAGCAUCAACUACAGCCUGUUCAAAUCACUUUCCAGUUAGAUAGUUCCUGCCUUGUGGCCCUCUUCCUAGUGUAGUGAACUGUGGUUCAAAUUCUUUCUUAUCCCAGUUUUAAUUUGCUUGAGCAUAUUAUAAUCUCCUCCAGGAGGUCAGGGUCCAUGCUUUAUGAUCUGGGUAUUUCUCAUAGCCCACAGUACACACUAAGAACCAGAUCCAAACUUUCUCAUAGCCCACAGUGCACACACUAAGAAUCAGAGCCACACUCCCCAUUUCUAUUUUUUCUUUGUAUUCUCAAGCUUACACUGGGCAGGACUACAAAACCGUGCAGACCUUUUUGCUGCUUCCUAGGCUUAUAAAUAGAGGGAAGGCAGGACACAUGGGGAUGUCGCAGUGGACGAGGAGUGGGCCUUGACAUUGAGGGUGCCCUGAGCUGCUGUGGAACAUCAAAUGUCAUUUUCACAAGGACAAGCUUGGCCUCCCACAUCCCAUGGUCAGUGACCUUACAAAGAGGCCACAGGGUCCUCAGUUUUAUCUAGGGAUAAACUGGACUCUCACAUGGGCAGGUGGAAGCUUGAGUUAUUUCCAGACUGCAGUAUCUUUUCUCCUCCUGGGAGAAGAUGGGUGCCCACGAAGGAUCUCCCUGUUCACACCUCUAGUGACAGUAACCCAUGGGACAUUGUCCCCAUUUCAAAGGUUCUUCUUAUUUCUGUCUUCUAGGGACAGAGAUGCAUUGUCAAGUGCAGGUGUCACGGUGACACAUCCUGUUACGUGGGUUCUAGAAAUCACAUUCAGGUUCCCUUCCUAAAACAUCACUGAAUGAACCAUCUCCCUAGUCCACCCUGAAUUUGUUUUUAUUUAGCAAAAUUACAUAAAAUCCACCAUAUUCCAUUACGGCCCUGUUUUAUUUGUGUGUGUC